AAACGGUUAACGUGUAUAGCUUUGAGUGUUUCGACGUAUUAAGUUUCGUGUUAAUUAAAAUGUGUUUGAAAUGUGGAUGGAUAAUUUUGACAAUUUUGUCAAAUGCAUACCAUAUUGGCGCUCAGAUUCCAGUCUUGACAUCCAACGCAACAUUGGUAAAUGUUAACGAAGCCUUACAAUUAACCUGCACACAUUCGACUUCAACAGCUGUAAGAUGGUAUCAUCAAUCAGCAGGGGAUAGCACCUCAUCUACUAUCCUUGCACUGAACAACGCCUGUGAGUUUGCACCCACGCCUAUACCAGAUGUAUUUUCUACCUGCAUGUGCAAAGGAACGAUAUUUAUGUGCACAUUGAGAUCCCUGGACACAAUUAAUAAUGGGGACGAGUGGAAGUGUUCGGUAACAGAAAACAAACAAGCAAUAUUCAGUAAUGAGAUAACAAUAAUAAUAACAGUUCCCGUAGUAUGUGCAACUCUGACACCAGAUGUACCUACCAUAUCCGUUUACCCAACAUGGCAAUCAGCUACAUACGCUGCGUAUCAUCAGUAGGACUUCCAGCACCAACCAUCACGUGGUACCUUAAUGACAAAAUGCCUUCUGACUACAGUGAUGAUGUGGACCUUACUGGGUAUAGCAGCAGUUUAACAGUAGCUGAUGUGACAUCAAGUAUUCUUACAAUGACGCCUUCCACAAACUAUCAUGAUGCAAGGAUGUACUGUAAUGUCUCUUACAGAUAUGGAAAAAUCAUGUCCAACAGGAUUCUGAGAAUCAAUUUGUUGAGUAUGUGUUUUGUAAAUUUGCAGACAUGUAAUUGAUGUCUUUAGUAUUAUAUUUCUUCGUGGCGUAAGUUAUCCUUUUCUCGUUCAUAAACUGAAUUUGGUAUAAUAAAUGUAUUAACGCCGACUGUUCAAACGAACGUGGUAUGCUUUAUUUGUAUUAAAGUAAUGUAAUUUGCGAUUACUAUCAGUACAUGUCAUGGUAGAAAUGCUGUUAUCAAGUGAAAGUCAACCACCUGAAUAACAAACAUGAAGUAUAUACGUGCAACGCAUAUCACAUAUCUUUCAGUAAAUUAUAUUUAAUGGGCUUUGCAUUAAAAUAACAAAGUUUAUAUUAAUUCGAAUUUCACGGCAUUACGUAUCUCAAAAAGUAAGACCAUGCGUGUAUGCAUUUAUUAUUUUAGGCUAUUCAACUAAGCCGAUAAUAAGGUACAACAUGGUAUUUGCACCAUCAAGUAUAUAUGUGAUAAAAACAGUAGACGCUAGAAUGUUCCUCGUCCGGCAAUCCGCAGCCGAGCUUUUUAUGGACCUUAUUUAACGGCUAUCUAAUUAGCACCUCGGUCAUAACAUAAAACGUUCCAACAAAUAACGACCAGAAACAAAUAGUAUGCAGUGCCGCCAGUGUUUUGGAUCCAACGAAUGGACCGAAGAUAUCGGCUGUAAAUACUACAGUGUUAACUAUGAAUAUUUUAUGUAAGUAUUUUCAGAUAAGAUGUGCCAUUUACGGUGAUUAUAAACUUAUAUAUUCAUUACAGUAAACUGUGUAAUGAUC